GAUGAACGCUAGCGGCAGGCUUAACACAUGCAAGUCGAGGGGUAGAAGCAGCUUGCUGCUUUGAGACCGGCGCACGGGUGCGUAACGCGUAUGCAAUCUACCUUUUACAGAGGGAUAGCCCAGAGAAAUUUGGAUUAAUACCUCAUAGUAUGUGAGAAUCGCAUGGUUUUCACAUUAAAGUUCCAACGGUAAAGAUGAGCAUGCGUCCCAUUAGCUAGAUGGUAAGGUAACGGCUUACCAUGGCGACGAUGGGUAGGGGUCCUGAGAGGGAGAUCCCCCACACUGGUACUGAGACACGGACCAGACUCCUACGGGAGGCAGCAGUGAGGAAUAUUGGUCAAUGGGCGCAAGCCUGAACCAGCCAUGCCGCGUGCAGGAAGACGGUCCUAUGGAUUGUAAACUGCUUUUAUACAGGAAGAAACCCUCCCACGUGUGGGAGCUUGACGGUACUGUAGGAAUAAGGAUCGGCUAACUCCGUGCCAG
rnacentral:rRNA from 1 species